rnacentral:rRNA from 1 species
ACUGAAUAGAUACCCAGGUAGUCUUGGCCCUAAACUAUGCUCACUAGGUGUCGGGGGGUAACCCUCGGUGCCGCAGCUAAACGCAUUAAGUGAGCCGCCUGGGGACUACGGCCGCAAGGUUGAAACUCAAAGGAAUUGGCGGGGGCCCGCACAAGCGGUGGAGCAUGUGGCAUAAUUCGAUGCAACGCGAAGAACCUUACCAGGGCUUGACAUGUAGCUGCAAGCUCCCGAAAAGGAGUCGCCUUUGAGGGUGCUACACAGGUGGUGCAUGGCUGUCGUCAGCUCGUGUUGUGAAACUGUUGGGUUAAGUCCCGCAACGAGCGCAACCCUCAUGUUCUGUUGCCAGCACGUCAAGGUGGGAACUCGGAACAAACCUGCCUCUGUAAGGAGGAGGAAGGUUGGGGAUGACGUCAAGUCAUCAUGCCCCGUUACGCCCUGGGCUGCACACAUGCUACAAUGGCCGAUACAAAGGGUAAGCGACACUGCGAAGUGGAGCCAAUCUCAAAAACGUCGGUCUCAGUGCGGA